UCAAAUAAGGUAUCGUUAUACUGUCCUUUUUUGCUUCUUCUGCUGUAUCCAACCACUUUUCCAGAAAUGAAAACCAGAGUUACCCCAUCCCCAACUCCAACCGCCACCAACCCCAGCCUCAGUUCCUCCCGCUGAGCAGGUCCCGCGCCCGCCCGCUCGCCUCCCGCUCGGCUCGCGGCCGCUCCCGCCCCCAGCUCCCGCCAGCCUGGCCCGCGCCUACUGGACAAAAGGAACCGUUGGAGCUCGCUUUUAACGACCUGUUUGGCACGUGCCCCCUCCAGGCGGGGUAGGGAGAGCUGAGCUGGGGGUGGGGUUGGAUCUGGGAAGAGUCACUUGAGUGACGGGAUGUAGUGGGAAAGCUAAUGAGGGAGGGCUGAGGCUAGCCUCACUGUAGGGCAGGGAAAAGGGAAGGGAAUCAAGUCCCCUCUUCCGAGCACAGCUCAUAGUGCUCCAGCAACCACCAGCUGAGCUUAGAUUUUUUUUUUUUUUUUCGGAGCUGGGGACCGAACCCAGGGCCUUGGGCUUGCUAGGCAAGCGCUCUACCACUGAGCUAAAUCCCCAACCCCUGAGCUUAAAAUUUUAACCUGCAAAGCUUCCUGCAGUGACUAAGACCUCGGGAGACAAGUCUGUAAAAACAGCCUGCCACCUGCGGCAUAUGGCUCUCCCAUCCCCACUCCCCAUGUGCAGACAGGGUUUCUCUAUGUAGCCCUGGCCAUUCUAGGACUCACUCUGGAGACCAAGUGGCCUUGAAUUCAGAGAUUCAUCUGCCUCCGUUUGCAAGUGCUUUGAUUAAAAGUUGUAUGCCAUCACGACCCACCUUGAGUAAUCUGUCUUUAUAAUAUACUUGUGCAGAAGUCACCAUCCUUAUAUUCAGCACCCAAGUACAGGUGUCUAACACAUAGUAGGUAGUCAAUAGACCAUAUUUUAAACUUCCAGCCCAAUUCUAAGUAGAAAUAUACCAAGGUACAGGAGCCCAUCUGGCUGUGCUAGCAUGGUAAUGUUGGUGUCACUGGGGAGCCCACACACAUUUAAAUAUGUUCCAGAUCUCUGCUCACCAAGAAGCCUUCUGGUUGGUGUCUUAGGGUCUUCAAGAUGAUUUACAAGGAAAAGUAAAGACCCCACUGGGGACAGUGACACAUCUCCAGUUGCAAAUGGGCUCUGGUUUGUCCACCAGAUCCAAGCUUGGUUAGUGCCAGCGCCCCAUAGCUACUAUGAGUUGAGAAUAAUUCUGGAGAAAUAUAAUAGAACCAUUAUGAAAAGGCCAGGCCAGACAGACUUUGCAGGUCUAGUUUCUCCUCACAAGUCUGGCUCCUGGGAGGCUGGAGAGAUGGCUCAGAGGUUAAGAGCACUGACUGCUCUUCCAGAGGUCCUGAGUUCAAUUCCCAGCAACCACAUGGUGGCUCACAACCUUCUGUAAUGGGAUCCGAUGCCCUCUUCUGGUGUGUCUGAAGACAUCGACAGGGUACUUCUAUACAUAAAAUAAAUUUGGUAAAUGUUAAAGAAGUCUGGUUCCUGAGACAGAGGGGGUGUUAAUGCACUGCUUCAGUUACAGUCCACAAAUGACCAACUAGAGUGACUGGCAACAUGAUGAGACACAGCUAAGAAGCUUUGCCUGCAAUCACAGCCACCCUUACAACAGUAUCCAAGAGCAUGUAAAGCGUUAAUUUUCAGAGCUUGACAUGUAGGGGAGCAGAAUUUCCAAGUGACAAUCUGGAGCCUGAAGCCCUAAUCUCAGGCUUAUUUCCAAAGUCUAGGGGUAAAGAGUUGAGGGGCAGUUUAGAUUAACCCAUAUAUAAAAAGAUGACUCACUCCAAAAGGCAUACUUGGCUUUUCUUGCCUAUAUUAUGACUCUUCACUCUUGUACGUUUCUUUUUUCAAGUUUCCCAGGGACUACUGACAUUUUAAAUACGAGUUUGGGUUCUCAGAUUCGAAAGUAUCCCACUUAUAUCUAAUUAAUUAGCCCAAUGCUGCUUCAUGUGCGCUAGCAGAAGACGCAAGACUCGUGGGUCAGAGACAAGACAAAUGUCAUAACCAUUCCGUGUCCUUUAACUCGUGUGCCCCCCCAACCCCACAGGGAUAAGGCAGAGCAGGGGUCCCCAACUGAUACCUGCAGCACUGUGGGUUGCAGUAGAAGAGGGAGGGCCUUAGCAUGGAGAAACCACGCCUUUCACAACAGGCAGAGAAGCAAAGGUGUUCUUUGCCCCAGGCUAGUCAGCCUUCAAAAUGGCCUGCUGGAAUUGAGCAUGAUGCGUUGAAUCUUGCCUCAGAGGCUAGAGGGUUGUUGACUCAAGAUCACCCUCAACUACAUAGCAGCAAAUUCAAAGCCAGCCUAGACUACAGACUACAUGAAAUUCAGUUUCAAAAAAGAAAAAGAAACCCAAAAGAGGGCUUGCUGCAACUCAGUUCUGAGAAAUGGCCUGGAAGCCAGGUAGCUGCAGCAGACCCACCAGUAAGGUGGGCAAGGUCAGUCAGCUGCGCUCAGUGUACUCCACACAUGCAUUCCCUUCCGCAUUGAACACUAACGAAUAAGCUGUACGUGUCAAGGAAGAAUGCUAGAGGGAUUUCUGCACUAACUUUGCUAAGCACGGUUUAUUGUUUUGUCCUGGUUCCAUAACUACACGGGAAAGCUUUGAGAUGUUCGUAGAGCUGUGCACAGAAAUGGGUUCCCUCUGUGAUUCAAAGACACAAUGUGACUUAUGGUCCUGUCCUUUUGACCCAACAAUGCCCAAAUUAAGGGAGAAAAUGUAACUCAGCAGACUAGCUCUUACACAACUAAUAGAGGAAAAGAAAAAAGACUGGCUUUAGCUAUUAUAUAUAAAGAGACAACCCUAAAGUCUCAUUUUAAAAAUUAGUUUCGACCAAAUUAUCCCCCUGCCAGUGUGCUUUGUUUCAGUCUGCCCACGGUUUUCAGGUGUGUCAGAAGGCAGCUAGACGCACCGGGACAGGACUAGGUGGCCCCAGGUAUGCACGCUUCCUUCUAUAAGCCUACCAUUUAUAGACCACAGUGAGCAGUCAGCUGCCAGCACCGUCCUGGCGAGACCUGUCCUUCACCGUGAGGAGACUCUGUUGAUAAUGUGUCAGUGUGUGAUGUCCAACUGGAACACAUUUCGGAGAUUUUCACAUAUGUUUUGUUUAUUACUUAGUUUCAUUUCUAUUGCUGUGAUAAAAUGCCCAGACAAAAAGCCAUUUGGAGGACAUUUAUUUUACCUUAUAAUUCCAGGUUACAGUUCAUCAUUGUGAUGAAGCCACGACAGGUACUUAAACAGCCAGUGGCGUCCUGCCCACCGUUCCAAGCAGGAAGAAAUGAACGGAACGGGCUCACCUGCUCUGUACUUUGUGCUCUGUUCAUUUCUCUUUGACACAGUUCAGGUUGAUCAGCACAGAGCAUGGUGUCAUCCAUGUUGGGCCGAGCCUUCCCAAAUAAACUGAGAUAAUCUUCCACAGACCAAUCCAUUGUAAACCACCGCUCUUGGAGAGUUGCAUCUCGGGGAUCCUAGAUUGUGUCAACUAAAACUAACCGUCACAGUGAAGCAAUGAUGGACUUGUAUCCCCUUCCCUGAUUACGUCAUCUUCCCGUCCUCUUAUAGCAUACUUGCCAAGCUAUCACAAUGCAUUUAGUCAUCCUCAAAAUUAAUAGCAUGAGCGUCUCGCUCCUGACAUGCUUCUUUAUCGCCAGACCCAAAAAAUACAGUGUUUCCUGGACCUUUUCCUCAUCUCAAGAAAUGGGAGUGGCCCACCCAGCUCUGACACUGAGACUGCGUCAUGUCCGUCAUGUCCGGGGCACAGAACGAGGAUUAACCAAGGAGCUGGUUAUUCAAGGAGCAAGUGCUAAAAUAAGAGUUGAGUAACACCCUUCAUAUUUUCUGAGGUACAAAAGAAGCUACCACUGCUUCCUGACAUGUUAGCCUUUUUAUUUCAUUCUUCCCCUUCAUCUUUUUUUCUUCAGGCUUCCACACAUUUAAUCUUUUAAGAAAGCAUACACAGGGGGUUGGGGAUUUAGCUCAGUGGUAGAGCACUUGCCUAGGAAGCGCAAGGCCCUGGGUUCGGUCCCCAGCUCCGAAAAAAAGAGAAGAAAAAAAAAAAAAAGAAAGAAAAGAAAGCAUACACAGCUAUUGGGAAUGCAACUGUGAUCCUGUCAGCCUCUAGGACGGCCAAAUGGCACUGUGGUGCAGUAGUGGGGCUCAUGACUUGGUGGUAACCAACGGCUGUCUCACUGGGGGCAAGGCCCACUCAGCAGGAGAAACCUAGCCAGUUACCCUGGGCUGGUGAUGUCAUGGAUCUUAGAGGAGAACCCACUGCCACCCCUUUACCAAACCAGCAUCAUUCCUUACUACAUUCUAAAUAUUUAUCCUAAUGCCCAACCCGUAUGUGUGGUUCUCACACCUCAUCAAAGAAAUUUCUUUUUUUCAAUGACGAGCAUUCUAGAAAAAGCACAGCUUGUUAAAAUGCAGGGAACAAUAGCCACUGAGUGCCCAGCCCCACUUGAUCGUACACCCACAGCACAAAUCCUGCACCUAAGGUGCAGCUGAGGAACAGGAAAUCUGCUGGGAUUGUGUCACCUAGAAGUGACAGACACCUCAACGGUGUGGUUGCCCAAACAGGAGCUGAACUAGUCCAACACCAAUAGACACACAAAGUGGGGGAGGGGAUCACACAGGCCUCACGUCUAGAACAAGAACUCCAGGCAACCGAGGAAUGCUCAGAGCAAGAGAAAUAGUCUCCCCAGGGAUGAGCUCCCUAAUCAUUAUCCAAUUUCAAACGACCAGGCUGCAAAUCAUAUAGAUGAGUAACACUAGGCAGAAUGAGUAGGCUGUAUUUGCAUUUUCAGCCAUCCAUCUAUGUAACAACAACAAAGAAAAAAAGGGUAUAGUUUCCAGAGGGAGGAAGGCCACGGUUACAUGGGAGGGAUCGAAGGGGGUCAGUUUUAACUUUUAAAAAUUAAAAAACCAUUAGCAAUGCCCACAGGUAGUUUAUAAUAAUGAGGGCAGCUCCUACAGCUGUCCAAAAUGGUGGAGUUUCUUCUUGUCAUAUCAACCAGGGGUUUGUGUUGUGUCCCCCUCAACCACUUCUGCAGAACACAGGUGGAAGCCUGUACAAAGAUAACAUGGACAUUUGGGGAGCUUUCUUGUUGGCCUUGUAGUUUUUACUGUUGCUUUUUGGGUUUUGGGGUUUGGGGUUUGAGAUGUUUUGUUGUUGUUUGGUUUUGCUUUUGUUUUUGAGACAUGGUCUCAUUAUAUAACCCUGGCUGGCCUGGAAGUCAUUAUGUAGACCAGGCUGGCACCAAACUUAGAGGGGUCCUCCUGCCUCUGCCUCCCAUGUGCUGGGAUUACAAUCUUGUAUCACCGUACUCAGCUGAGAACACAGAAGUAAAGCAGAGAAAUUGUUUUAUUGAUUGUAACUGUACUGUUGACUUAUACACCUAUUUUGCUACUUCUGAUUGGACAGUUUUAAAUGUAUUUUUCUGUAAUACACACAAUGGUGGUUUGAAUAUCCUUGGCCUAGGAAGUGGCACUAUUAGGAGGUGUGGCUUCGUGGAGUAGGUGUGGCCUUGCUGAAGGAAGUGUGUCAAUCUAGGGUGGGCUAUAAGACCCUCUGCCUAGCUGCCUGGAAGCCAUUUUCUUCCUGGCUGCCUUCAGAUCAAGUUGUAGGACUCUCAGCUCUUUCUCCAGCAUCAUGCCUGCCUGCAUGCCUUGCUUCCUGCCAUGAUGGUGAUGGACUGAACUCUGAAACUGUAAGCCAACCCCAAUUAAAUGUUGUCCUUUAUGAGA